rnacentral:tRNA from 1 species
GGCUCGUUGGUCAAGAGGUUAAGACGUCGCCCUCUCAAGGCGAAAUCAGGGGUUCAAUUCCCCUACGAGCCA